rnacentral:rRNA from 1 species
AGAGUUUGAUCCUGGCUCAGGAUGAACGCUGGCGGCGUGCUUAACACAUGCAAGUCGAACGGUGAAGCAGGAGCUUGCUCUUGUGGAUCAGUGGCGAACGGGUGAGUAACACGUGAGCAACCUGCCCCUGACUCUGGGAUAAGCGCUGGAAACGGCGUCUAAUACUGGAUAUGUGACGUGACCGCAUGGUCUGCGUUUGGAAAGAUUUUUCGGUUGGGGAUGGGCUCGCGGCCUAUCAGCUUGUUGGUGAGGUAAUGGCUCACCAAGGCGUCGACGGGUAGCCGGCCUGAGAGGGUGACCGGCCACACUGGGACUGAGACACGGCCCAGACUCCUACGGGAGGCAGCAGUGGGGAAUAUUGCACAAUGGGCGAAAGCCUGAUGCAGCAACGCCGCGUGAGGGAUGACGGCCUUCGGGUUGUAAACCUCUUUUAGCAGGGAAGAAGCGAAAAG